GACAGAGGUCCCGAGCGUUAGGCGGAAUCACUGGGCUUAAAGCGUGUGUAGGCGGACUUCUAAGUACCUUGUGAAAUCCCACGGCUUAACCGUGGAACUGCUCGGUAUACUGGUUGUCUUGGGCCAUCUAGGGGCUACCGGAACAAGUGGUGGAGCGGUGAAAUGCGUAGAUAUCACUUGGAACGCCAAUGGUGAAAACAGGUAGCUGGGGAUGUGCCGACGCUGAGACACGAAAGCCAGGGGAGCGAACGGG
rnacentral:rRNA from 1 species